AAUUGUUCUUCAUCAAUGUUCUCCAAUAAUUUCACGAAAUCGCCUUAAAAAUCACAGAUUAUUCUUCAUCCAUCAACCACCUAAUUCUCGCCCGUGCGUGCAGUAUAAAAUACAGUACUCUUGAUGUUGGAACCGUAAUACUUACCUUCAUUGGUGAUGAUCAGUGUUGUAGCCACGGUGGGCAACGGUGGGCGGGCCUGCCCAGUACUGACAAUUUCCGCCCGGCACUUCAGCUGAAAAACAGACUUCCAAUACCACAACUAGAUCCAAUGGGAAGAGGUUGAAUCAAGGAAGAGGCUGAGUGAGAAGAAUGCAGAGGACUUGAAGCAUAUGGAUAAAAGACGAAGAGACAACCAGGUUGCGUAGAGAACCCUACUGAAGUACUUUCGACGAGCAGUAGCGUCUAGACAAACACUGCCCCCAAGCCGGUUUCCAAUGCAUCAGCUUUCUACAGUAGAGGGCGCCAGAUUGCUGGUUACUCUGCCACGGAUGCAUUGCUAAAAUCAAGGCAAACCAAUUCUAACGUCACGGUAAAGCGUACCCCUGGAUUCCUGAGCGUCUUUAACUCAAAGAGGUUGUACCCGAUCACAAGCUAUCCGGCUGGAAGCAGAAGAGCAUCCCCACAGCAGUCAAGACGUCUCAGAUCAGUCUACAAGGAUUCUCAAAUCUUGGUAAUACGUGUUACAUGAACGCCAUUCUCCAGUCGCUAUUCUGUCUGGAAUGCUUCACUGCAGACAUGCAGAAUCAAGACAUCAUUCCACUCAUGCAGAAAUCAAGUCUCUACUGGGCCUUAGCUCAAUUGCUAUGCGCCAAGCAGAGCAAUCACUCAUCGGAGAGCAUUGGGGUGUAUCUACGUAAAGUGAAGCAAGCUAUCUCCACAACGGCAGCUCGAUUCUCUGGAUUUAUGCAACACGAUGCGCAAGAGUUCCUCUGUCAGUGCCUGGAUCAACUCAAAGACGACACCGAAAGGGCCAACAAGAGGGCGCUAAACUCCCCCUUGGACGAGACCCCAGGGACGGAUGAUGAUAAAUGAAACUGAGGUCUCGCUAUCCGCACGACUGCCCGAUUGUCAAGAACUUUGAAUUUGAAGUCAUGCCCUCUACGAUCUCUUGCUGGACAUGCCCAGAAGGAGUCGUUCUAACCCGAUCGGGUCGAUCCAGACGGCGCUGGAGCAGUUCUUCAGAGAGGAGGGUAUAGAGUAUGCCCGCGGAGAAUGUAACUGCAAGCAGGCUAUAGUCACGCAUAAGUUCACUAAGCUACCAAGGGUAAUUAUCAUUCAUCUUAAGCGCUACAAAUUUGACGUCUGGCGCCUUCCAGUACUCCAAGCUCCGUCGCCGCAUCCUCAUACCCAGGUACUUGUCCGUCCACUACCACUGCACCAAGGAAACCCAGAGUCCAACCUCUCUCCCAAAGUCAUUAGUCAACGGGACGUCAUCUCCAAGGCCACAACAACUCAAUGCCGAGAGAACUCAAAGGUUGUCCCUCACAGCCCCGUCGACGAGGGAAUCUAAUUGGUCUGCAAGGAGCGAGUCGUUUAAGCCCUCGCGCUUCAGUUUUGCACCCUCAAGGAAGAGGCUGAACCAUGACGACAACAGUAAACAACCAAGGCAAACCAUUCUCCUGGAAAGUAACACAGACUCAGACGAUGACGAGACCCAAAAAGUCUUAGAGAUGAGUAAAAAAGAGUCGGAGAGAAAAAAGCGAGAGGCAGAUGAGAGGUUGCGGCUUGAGGAAGAAGAAUUGAAAAAGGUCUAAAAGAGAAAUGACAAGACAAGCACAUAAGAAAAUGAGAUGAUGGAAAACCUCUUUAGUUGUUUGUGUUCUGCUCAGAUGUUGCCUAGCGACAAGGGAUGCUCAGUACUUUGAUAACAUCUUCUCUACAUUGGGAGAGAUUGAAAGAGAACAGGUGAUGAGGAGGGUGACUCCAGGAAUGCGGCCCCAUUACAAUAUGAGCAUGAGGCGACCACGGACACAUGUUUAUGCCAGACUGCAACACUGUACUAAUGAAACUCAAUGCAUGCAUCAAGGACAUUCACCAAAGAGCCACUGCAAACAAGAUGAUGCUUAAUGCUGCAAGGCAUUGGUUCUUCAUUUUACAUCAAGAUUUUCACAACAGCCACUUCCAGUCAUUUCCAUCACGGUUGGUGAUGUGAAACCACUCAACGAAAGCCAGAAAUCUCUGUGCAGUCAUGGAUGAACAUGUACAUGUAUCACUGAAGGCCCAUGUCUCUACCCUAUAUGCCGCUCUUAAAUUACUGUCAUCCAAAGAUGUUUUAAAUUUAGAAAAUAAUGAUCCACACAAAUACACCUGGAAAUUGUUUAGUUUUCCUUGGCCGUCU